UUGAUUGUGAAUCGUUACCUUCAGUGCUGGCCCCGGCAAGUGCACGUGGGUGACUUUCAUCCAAUACCCUUGUGAACUUCUGGCCUCUUGCUAGCUUCGGCUGGCAGAGGAUUUUUACACACACUCGAAUGUAAUGAAACCUAUUGUUGUGCGCAAGCACUAAUGUACAACUUUCAACAACGGAUCUCUUGGCUCUCGCAUCGAUGAAGAACGCAGCGAAAUGCGAUAAGUAAUGUGAAUUGCAGAAUUCAGUGAAUCAUCGAAUCUUUGAACGCACCUUGCACCCUUUGGCAUUCCGAAGGGUAUGCUCGUUUGAGUGUCAUUGUACUCUCACACUCUCCAAUCCUCUGGAUCCGGGGAGUGGUGGACUUGGGCGUCUGCUGCUUGACUGUGGCUCGCUUUAAAUGGAUUAGUGCAACUCUUGGUUGGACAUAGUACGGCGUGAUAAGUGUCUUCGCCGGCACCUCGGAAGAGGGUGACUGAUUGAGAGCUCUGUGCUUCAAACUGUCUUCGGACAAUCUCUGACAACUUGACCUCAAAUCGAGUAGGACUACCCGCUGAACUUAAGCAUAUCAAUAAGCGGAGGAAAAGAAACUAACAAGGAUUCCCCUAGUAACGGCGAGUGAAGAGGGAAGAGCUCAAAUUUUGAAUCUGGCGUCUUUGGCGUCCGAAUUGUAAUCUAGAGAAGUGUUUUCCGUGACGGACCGUGCAUAAGUCUCCUGGAAUGGAGCGUCAUGGAGGGUGAGAAUCCCGUAUAUGGCACGGACUCCCGUUGCUCUGUGAUACACUCUCGACGAGUCGAGUUGUUUGGGAAUGCAGCUCUAAACGGGUGGUAAAUGCCAUCUAAAGCUAAAUAUUGGCGAGAGACCGAUAGCGAACAAGUACCGUGAGGGAAAGAUGAAAAGCACUUUGGAAAGAGAGUGAAACAGUACGUGAAAUUGUUGAAAGGGAAACGCUUGAAGUCAGUCGCGCCGUUCGGGAUUCAGCCUUGCUUCUGCUCGGUUUACUUCCCGUUGGGUGGGUCAACAUCAGUUUUGGUCGGAGGAGAAAGACUUGGGGAAGGUGGCAGCAUUCGUGCUGUGUUAUAGCCCCUUGUUGUAUACUUCG
rnacentral:rRNA from 1 species